AGUGAACGCUGGCGGUAGGCCUAACACAUGCAAGUCGAACGGCAGCACAGUAAGAGCUUGCUCUUACGGGUGGCGAGUGGCGGACGGGUGAGGAAUACAUCGGAAUCUACUUUUUCGUGGGGGAUAACGUAGGGAAACUUACGCUACUACCGCAUACGACCUACGGGUGAAAGCAGGGGAUCUUCGGACCUUGCGCGAUUGAAUGAGCCGAUGUCGGAUUAGCUAGUUGGCGGGGUAAAGGCCCACCAAGGCGACGCUCCGUAGCUGGUCUGAGAGGAUGAUCAGCCACACUGGAACUGAGACACGGUCCAGACUCCUACGGGAGGCAGCAGUGGGGAAUAUUGGACAAUGGGCGCAAGCCUGAUCCAGCAAUACCGCGUGGGUGAAGAAGGCCUUCGGGUUGUAAAGCCCUUUUGUUGGGAAAGAAAAGCAGCAGGUUAAUACCCCGCUGUUCUGACGGUACCCAAAGAAUAAGCACCGGCUAACUUCGUG
rnacentral:rRNA from 1 species